rnacentral:rRNA from 1 species
AUUGGUGGUCAACCCGCACCAACCAUUCAACUUACAACAGGUUCGAGUAAUACAACAGCAUCAACAACAACAACAUCUACUUCUUCCAACAUUCAAAUUACGGUCCGUCCAACAGGUAUCUUGU